rfam:Enterococcus columbae DSM 7374 = ATCC 51263 genomic scaffold acyDG-supercont2.3, whole genome shotgun sequence.
UAGGAACAUAAACUGGGGACAAGGCUAAAUGGUGGAUGUGCUUGCAUAACAAAUUGAAGUCCUGAAGGUAAAAGUAAAACCAAGACAGUAAAUCCGUA